ensembl:lncRNA
ACCACUGACUACCAGGGUAAAGAAUGCCUGAGACGUGUGAAUAUGUUACCUCACAGGACAGAAAAGACCUUGCAAGUGUGAUUAAGAAAGACUCCUUCCCCUGGGACUGGGGAUGCCGAGAAGCGCAGCUGGGGGGGCCAGGGCCUGUGUGGACUGCAGGUCUGGUCAUAAAUCAACAAGAGUUUCUGAGUUAAAACUUUGACUGCAAGAAAGUUUUACUUCUGGAGAGCGCUAAUUUGUUUUUUGAGCUCAAUGUGAUUUGCUUGCAAACCCAGUGGACUGCUUCAGCUGGGGAACGUCCACCCAGUCGGCCUCGUCAUCACAGCCACAUUAUGCGGUUCGUGGGCUCACUGGCCUCUGUAUGCCCUCAAGAUGUCAGUGAGCUUUCCCAGUGGAGACGGCCAGUCAGAGAGCUGACUUCAGAUGAGGGCACGGAGACUCCGAGAGGUCCUUUCACUUGCCCAGGUGCCCGGGCAGGAAGGGCAGCACCAGGAGGCGGGCCUGUGCACGUGACCCUGGGAUUUCCCAACACCGUCACACAGUACAGCAGACGAGCUCACUUGGAACCAGGUUUAAGAUCUGCAAGGGCGGU